rnacentral:rRNA from 1 species
AACGAACGCUGGCGGCAGGCCUAACACAUGCAAGUCGAACGCUGUAGCAAUACAGAGUGGCAGACGGGUGAGUAACGCGUGGGAACCUUCCCAAUGGCACGGAAUAGCCCAGGGAAACUUGGGGUAAUACCGCAUAAGCCCUUAGGGGGAAAGAUUUAUCGCCAUUGGAUGGGCCCGCGUCGGAUUAGCUAGUUGGUGAGGUAAUGGCUCACCAAGGCAACGAUCCGUAGCUGGUUUGAGAGAAUGACCAGCUACACUGGGACUGAGACACGGCCCAGACUCCUACGGGAGGCAGCAGUGGGGAAUCUUGGACAAUGGGCGCAAGCCUGAUCCAGCCAUGCCGCGUGAGUGACGAAGGCCUUAGGGUUGUAAAGCUCUUUUGCCGGGGACGAUAAUGACGGUACCCGGAGAAUAAGUCCCGGCUAACUUCGUGCCAGCAGCCGCCGUAACAC